AGUUGCAGGUACAAGAAAUGAGUGACAUGGGUUCUAGGUCCUCUUCAGCUUGAGAAGACAUAAACUAUCAUCUCUUACCUUCUUAAGGUUCUGAAAUCCUAUCUCCAUUCCUGCCAUAUUACUGGAAAAAAAAGUGCCAUUACUCCAUGUGCAACACAUAUAGAGUGAUGGGGACAAAAAGUAGAAAACAACAUCCUCCAUCUCCAGCUUCUCUACAUCUUCAAAAUGGAGCUACAGAAAUCCAGAGAAUUGCACUUCUUGUGAAAAGAGCAUUCCAAGGUCAUAGAAAAUAUUAUUGCUCCCUUACGUGUGGAUCUUGCCACUCAAGAGCUUUUUUGUUCUCCUUGAAGAAACUCUUGUGGACUCAUUCUGGACCUAGUCACGGACUAGAUAUACUUACAAAGUGUGGCCUUGAUUUGGAUAUUAAAGCAUUUCAGAAAUAACAGGAAAAUCCAGUUCUCUUCCUUCUUCAGACUCAUUGUACUUUGAAAUUUGUCAAGAGACCAGGCACAACUAAACUCUUGAGAAAAAGAUGAGUACUCAAAGGUAGAAAGUCUUCAUGGGACUUUGGAGAUGGAUUAUGCCCAAUGACUUUCAAUGCAUCCCGAAUAUCAGCAGAGAACUAAGAUCCCUCCAGAAGGACACAGAACAGAGUUAAAUCAUGAGUUAGGCAUGAAGUGUUUUAGAUGUGAUGGACAGCUGGCACCCCUUAAGAGUCAGUGUAAUUACUACAUUGAAACAAUGUUAUGACUCUACCCUUACUGUCUUGUCCAUCUCUUUCAUAAGGUAUCUUCCCUAUCUUCCCAAACUCAAAACUUUCUUUUGCUAAGUCCUUUGCAUGACUGAAAAGGUAUUCAAUAACCUACUUUCCCUCACCCCCCCAAUUUAAUCCCAAGAGUGGUUAGUUCUAUUGCACAUUUUUCCAGGUCUCUGCUGACUUUUGAAAACCCACUCAAAAAUGAGGUGACAGACUAAAAGAUUUAACCCUUGAUAUAUAAAACACAAAGAAAUGGAGAAAAUACAAAAAAAAAGAAAAAAACCCACACACAAAAAAAGCCCUCUUUUAGCCUAUUAUUACAUUUUGCCUAAAUAAAGACACUUGACUGGAAAUUUCAUUCAAAAUUUAAAAUUUAUGAACUAUUACAUGUUCUUAUGAGUAGCAGUGAAUCAAGCUUUACUUAUGUAGUUGUCAAUUAAAUAUGUAGGAAAGGUUGAGGAGGAUCAGGUUAGAGACUGUUUAGGCAAACUGGACAUCCACAAAUCCAUGGGUCCUGGUGGGAUACACUGGUGGGAUACACCCACAAAUGCUGAGGAAGCUGGAAGAUGUUAUUGCAAAGCCACACUCCAUCACCUUUGAAAAGUCUUGGGGAACAGGAGAGGUGUCUGAGGACUGGAAAAAAGCCAGCAUCACUCUAGCCUUCAAAAAGGGCAAGAAGGAUGACCCAGGUACACACAGGCCAAUCAGCCUCAUUUCCAUCCCUGGAAAGGUGAUGGAACAACUCAUUCUGGAUGUCAUCUCCAAGCAUGUGGAGGAAAAUAAGGUUAUUGCGAGUGUCAGCAUGUGUUCAGCAAAGGGAAAUCACAUUUGAUCAACGUGUAACCUUCUAUGAUAGUUCGAUAGAGGGCAGAGCAGUGGAUGUUGACUACCUUGACUUCAGCAAGGCUUUUGACACUGUUUCUCACAACAUCCUCAUAGGAAAGCUCAGGAAGUGUGGGUUGGAUGAGUGCAUGGUGAGACGGAUUGAGAACUGGCUGGAUGGCAGAGCUCAGAGGGUUGUGAUCAGUGGUGUAGAGUCUGGUUGUAGUUCGUUGGGUUCCCCAGGGAUCAGUACUGUGUCCAGUCGUGUUCAACUUGUUUGUCAAUGACCUGGAUUAAAAGACUGAGUGCACCCUCAGCAAGUUUGGUGAUGAUACAAAACUGGGAGGAAGGAUUGAUAUACCAGAUAGCUGUACUGCCAUUCAGAAAGACCUGGACAGGCUGGAGGACUGGGCAGAGAAGGACCUGAUGAAAUUCAACAAGGGUAAGUGUAUGGUCCUGCACCUGGGGAGGAAUAACCCCAGGCACCAGUACUGGUUAGGGGUGGACCUGCUGGAAGGCAACAUUGCAGAGAGGGACCUGGGAGCUCUGGUCAUCAACAGAUUGACCACAAGUCAGCAAUGUGCCCUUGUGGCCUUCCUGGAUGCAUUCCUGUUCAAUCUCCUCUAGGUGACCCUGCUUUAGCAAGUGGGUUGGACUAGAUGAUCUCCAGAUGUCUCUUCCAACCCCAAUGUUUAUUCUGUGUGAUUCUGUAAAUAUUUACCAUUUUCUGAAAUCUCCAGUGAUAGUUCCUUCAAAAAAUGUGAUGAAAGACUAGUUUGCGAGGUUUGCAAGCUAAGGACACUGACACAGCAGCUGCACUUUUCAGUUACUUUUAAAGACAGAUUUCCUUCCAUGGUUUGAGGAGACAUCUAUUCUAAUGAUGAAAGUGUCUACAUUUGUUUAUUGUCAUUUGAUCAACACUCUUUUCCUUCUAAAUCACCUAUUACUCAAAGUACCAUCAAGCUAUGAGGUUUUUGAAGUUUGCCAGUAUCAAUUGUCUUCCUUGCUCAAUUUGUUUGCUUUUUUAAUCUCUGCCUGUAUAUAGUCCCUGAACUCAUGAUACUAACCCUCACAAUACCAUAGUUAUAUUAGAAGAUGGCAAAUAAUAUGCAUGCAGCUCUCUUGAGCAAUUAUACUUUUCUGUAUUAAUGUGUGGGAAUGGAUGGUAGUAAACAUUUUGAAAAAGGAUCUUUCUCUUGUGUAAGUGCCAUAAUGUUUUCCCUAGAUCCCUGGAAAUACAUGAAGGUCUGGUGAAUGGCCAAGGUAAUGUUUCAUUCAUUUCUGAACCUAGCAGCCUCUUGAAAUUGAAUGUAGACUCUAGCAGGAAAUAUAUAUGUCCUUGUUAGGCUAGAUGCAAAGAUAAAUCACUUAUUUCAGAGUUCAGAGGUAUGUUGAGCAAUGUCACUCUUUUUUUUUUUUUUUUUUUUUUUUUUUUUUUUCUUCUAAAGGUAAAUAAAGUAAAAUGUUAUGUUUCCUUCUUUGGAUUGUUACUUCACUUUUGAUAAUGUUCCCUUAAUUAAAAAUAAAUAAGAAAAUUCAGACCUGUGGAUAUUUAUUAAAAAUCUCAGGAGAGAAGCCCUCCAGCUUCCUACAGCCUGUAAUUUAUAGGAACUGAAUGCUGUGCUGUUCUCAGCAUAUUUAUUAAAGAAAUAUA